GGAGUGAUGGCCGAGUUGGUCGAAGGCGCUCGCCUGCUAAGCGAGUAUACGCUUAAUCGCGUAUCGACGGUUCGAAUCCGUCUCACUCCGCCA
rnacentral:tRNA from 1 species